AGCAUCAAGUUGCUCGGUUUUGAGAGCAAAUCGAGGGAAACCAAUAAGAGGCUUUUGAUCCUUGAGGGAAGAGGAUCAUUUCUGGAGAUUUUGGGAAUUUUUUGGGUAGUAUAGAGGGUGUUUUCGCAUAUAUAUACAUUCGGCCGUAUAUAUAUAUACAUUUUGCGUGAAAUACCAAAUCGGGUUGUAGAGUGAUCGAUCGAGCGAUCUAAUAAGGGGUUUUUGUUCGCAAGGUGAUGGGUAACUGAUCUGGAAAGUUUCAUGCCAAUCGGAGUUCGAAUCAAGGGUCAAUUUGAUUCGCCGGAGUUCGGUGGUGGGAUAGCUUCGGCCGACUGUUUUUGGCCAAAUCGGAAGGCUUCCGGUGGUCUUUUCCGAGCAAUAUUGGUACCAUUGGGAUCGACUAAGGGAGAGGAACAGCCUAGUGUCGUCGCUUCAAUUUUCCGGUGUGCCGUCGCCGGAGAAGAUGACCGGAGGGUGCCUUGAGGGUUGAGGGGAAGUGACUUGUGCGAAGUUCGAAGAAGGCACGCAAAUCGAGACAGGCACGCAAAUCGUGGCAAACCGCGCUUUUCAAGAAGAAUUCGAAUUGCGCCCAAAGGUGAAAGCAGUGGCGCCAAGGGAAAGAAUAUCAUCGAGAUGUAGCAGCUAUGUUUACUUUUCGUAGGUUUUGCCCAUGAUUACGAUGUUCAGAGGUUAUGUAAUAUUUUGAUAUUUUCAUAUGAAACAUCGAUUUGGUUAUUGUAAAGGAAUUGUCGGUUAUAUAUCAUUGAGGUUUCGAUCUUGCUUCCGCUGAUGUGAUUGUUGAUACAUGUCUUAGUUUAUUAUUAAAUUUUGAUAUGCUAAGAAGGUACGAUCGGGAUUGACGGGAAAUGAUUAUGAUGAAGGUAUAUGUAUUGAGAGACUUAUGUUGUGUGUUCGAUGUUGAAAAAAAAAAAAAAUAUUCUCGAAAUCUAGAGUUAACGCUCGUUGUGGAAAAAUAGGGCGUUACAGAUGAACUACCACUUUAUUAGAGACAAGAUACGAGAUGGCUCUAUCAUUACAAAGUAUGUUGCUUCAUCAAAUCAAUUAGCAAACAUAUUUACAAAGCCUUUGGAAAAGAAUGUUUUCAACAAUCUUGGUCAAGUUGGGAGUUCUUGACAUUCAUUCUCUAAGUUAAGGAGGAGUGUUGAGAAGUCAAUAAUAUCUCUAAAAUUCUGGAUCCAUAUAACACAAUUGUAGAAUGAUAAUUGUUAAUUGAU